rnacentral:rRNA from 1 species
GAUGAACGCUGGCGGCGUGCCUAAUACAUGCAAGUCGAGCGAACGGACGAGAAGCUUGCUUCUCUGAUGUUAGCGGCGGACGGGUGAGUAACACGUGGAUAACCUACCUAUAAGACUGGGAUAACUUCGGGAAACCGGAGCUAAUACCGGAUGAUAUUUUGAACCGCAUGGUUCAAAAGUGAAAGACGGUCUUGCUGUCACUUAUAGAUGGAUCCGCGCUGCAUUAGCUAGUUGGUAAGGUAUCGGCUUACCAAGGCAACGAUGCAUAGCCGACCUGAGAGGGUGAUCGGCCACACUGGAACUGAGACACGGUCCAGACUCCUACGGGAGGCAGCAGUGGGGAAUCUUCCGCAAUGGGCGAAAGCCUGACGGAGCAACGCCGCGUGAGUGAUGAAGGUCUUCGGAUCGUAAAACUCUGUUAUUAGGGAAGAACAUAUGUGUAAGUAACUGUGCACAUCUUGACGGUACCUAAUCAGAAAGCCACGGCUAACUACGUG